CUCGCCGCUCGGCUCCGUUCGGGCAUUUCCGCCUCUUUGUUUUAAACUCCGGACGGGUUUUUUUCUCCUGCUCUUGGGGGGGACCCGGAGGGAGCGGCGCCCCCCCCACUCCCGACGCUGCCCCCGCGUGCGCCCAGCUCGCCCGCAGCCGAGACGGCAGGCUUCAAAAUGUAGCAGAGCGUCCCAGGCUGCCAUGUACAGAAAAUGGACAGAGAGCAAGGGACAGAAGGGAGGCGCCGACGUGAAGACCCACAGGGCAGAGUGAAGCCGCUGGCGAGGACCUACAGCCUCAGAGCCGCAGCCUGAGCGCCCAAUGCAAAGGCAGGAGGAGGGGACUGAAGACAUCUAGAAGAGGUGAGGUGCGGUCUCCCCUGGC
rnacentral:lncRNA from 1 species